UCCAGCUCUUCGCCGGCAGUUCCCUAAGAGUGCCCGGCAUUACCCGAUGGCAACAUAGAGUGAGGGUUGCGCUCGUUGCGGGACUUAACCCAACAUCUCACGACACGAGCUGACGACAGCCAUGCAGCACCUCCGCAGCGGUUCUUGCGAAAAGGGAUAUUUCUAUCCUUGUCCACUGCGCUUCGAGCCCAGGUAAGGUUCUUCGCGUUGCU
rnacentral:misc_RNA from 1 species